UACAGAGGUCUCAAGCGUUGUUCGGAUUCAUUGGGCGUAAAGGGCGCGUAGGCUGCGGGGUAAGUCGGGUGUGAAAUCUCAGAGCUCAACUCUGAAACUGCACCCGAUACUGCUCUGCUUGAGGACUGGAGAGGAGAUUGGAAUUCACGGUGUAGCAGUGAAAUGCGUAGAUAUCGUGAGGAAGACCAGUGGCGAAGGCGGAUCUCUGGACAGUUCUUGACGCUGAGGCGCGAAGGCCAGGGGAGCAAACGGG
rnacentral:rRNA from 1 species